CUGCCCCGACGCUGGCCCCUCGCUCCACUUCGCGCAAACUUGUUUUUGUAAGAUUCGGACUUACCACGUCCUGAGUGAGGCCGUAGCACAUCUCCAACAAACUCCAGGGGAGGCUCAAGCUACUGGUCCCUGGACUGCACUUUGAGUAGCAAGGACAAAGGAAAGAGCUGACUAUAUCCAGCUGCUCAGGUUCAAGGCUGUCACUCCAGGCACUUGACACACCAUGCAGAACCUCUUGCCAAACCCAGGGCUCCAGCUUUGCAACUGUUAUCCCCAAAACCCAGAUGGGUCUUUCCCUAGCUCUGUGCAAGUGCCACUCUGUCCCAGCAUGGUGUGGAGCCCAAGGGUGGCUGGAGGACUCUGGAGCCAGCCAGCCCGGGGAGGUCCAGCUUCAAGCCCUGCCAGGUACAGGUGGCUGGAAAGAGGGCAGAGCAUUUCACUUGUCUGUCAUUCAGUUUCUCACCUGGAAAAUGGACAAACAAUAUAGCCUCUUUAUGGGGCUGUUUUGAAGAUUCAGAGGAAUAAUAUGUAUGAAAAUAUGCACACAAGAGGUACUCAAUAAAUGUUACAUCACUUUCUUUGAUUUCUACCUGUUCCUUAA